CCUCCGCCCCGGGUGGCCUGGUCCUCCCAGUACGCCCCGCGGGGGAGCACCCUCUGGAGCCUUGGGUCCGCCCACCUCGGCCAAAGUUCAGUUUCAGCUUUCAGAGAUCUCUUAGGCUUCUCACUGUGCUACCUCAGGUCACCGUGGUGAGGAAAAACAGAUCCGGAGCCCUAGGGUCGUGUGAUUUAAACUGCGCCAGGGACCGACAGGCCUCGGUAUUGGUCUUUGCAGUGAGUGCUCUAAGGACCGGCCCACGGAGCUGAUGCCAAGAAGUUCUUUGAGGUCAAGGAUUCCACCAAAGAGUUCUGCACUGUGCUUUAUUGAGACAAACAUUGCGUUUUCAGUGAAACUUGAUUGGAUUCAAAUCCCAACUCUGCCCUUAAUGAACCUAUAGCCAGGGAAACUACCUACUUCAAACAAUGGCAAUGCAGUAGUGACCAUGACCAAUGUGAUUGCCACAUCCAUGGAGUUGAUGAUGGAGCUAUUGAGAAAAACUGAGACAUGCAGCUAGUUAGUGAUAGAACCUAGAUUUAAAUUCAGA